rnacentral:rRNA from 1 species
ACCGAACCGACUAAUGUUGAAAAAUUAGCGGAUGACUUGUGGCUGGGGGUGAAAGGCCAAUCAAACCGGGAGAUAGCUGGUUCUCCCCGAAAGCUAUUUAGGUAGCGCCUCGUGAAUUCAUCUCCGGGGGUAGAGCACUGUUUCGGCAAGGGGGUCAUCCCGACUUACCAACCCGAUGCAAACUGCGAAUACCGGAGAAUGUUAUCACGGGAGACACACGGCGGGUGCUAACGUCCGUCGUGAAGAGGGAAACAACCCAGACCGCCAGCUAAGGUCCCAAAGUCAUGGUUAAGUGGGAAACGAUGUGGGAAGGCCCAGACAGCCAGGAUGUUGGCUUAGAAGCAGCCAUCAUUUAAAGAAAGCGUAAUAGCUCACUGGUCGAGUCGGCCUGCGCGGAAGAUGUAACGGGGCUAAACCAUGCACCGAAGCUGCGGCAGCGACGCUUAUGCGUUGUUGGGUAGGGGAGCGUUCUGUAAGCCUGUGAAGGUGUGCUGUGAGGCAUGCUGGAGGUAUCAGAAGUG